GGACGAACGCUGGCGGCGUGCUUAACACAUGCAAGUCGAGCGAGAUCCAUCCAGUGGCAACACUGGUGAAGAUCUAGCGGCGAACGGGUGAGUAACACGUGAGCAACCUGCCCCGAAGACCGGGAUAACAGCGGGAAACCGCUGCUAAUACCGGAUGCCCUCACCGGGCCGCAUGACCUGGUGAGGAAAUGGCUGAGUCUUAAUAAACUCAGUCCGCUUCGGGAGGGGCNCGCGGGCUAUCAGCUUGUUGGUGAGGUAACGGCUCACCAAGGCUACGACGGCUAGCUGGUCUGAGAGGACGACCAGCCACACUGGGACUGAGACACGGCCCAGACUCCUACGGGAGGCAGCAGUGGGGAAUCUUGCGCAAUGGGCGAAAGCCUGACGCAGCAACGCCGCGUGGGAGAUGAAGGCC
rnacentral:rRNA from 1 species